AGAAUAACACAACUUUAUGUUGAGAUUGUAACAAGGUGUACGGAUAAGUACCUGAAUCUGAUGGAGAAUGGAGGAGUACCUGAAUCUGCAGAUCCGUCAAUGCUAUAUUGAUGGUGUUAGAUAUUUCAAAGACUUUAACAUUGUCGAAGAGGCUAGUAGAGUUGGAAAGGGCAUCACUAGGGAAUAUUAUGUUCAUGUUGAUGAUGGUACCCUGGAAAUCCACUUAUACUAGGCAGGGAAAGGAACCACUUCCUUCCUAACAGAGGUGUAUAUGUUCCUGCUGAAUCUAUAAGGUGGUUAAGGGUGGGAUUUUGGAGAUAGGUUUGUGGCACACGUGGUUUGACCGAGACUUAACUGUGGUGGGGAGGGUCAUUGUUCGAGAAGAGAAUGCAGGCUCUGUUUCAUAUUCACGUCAUCAUGUUAGGAUUGAGGAACCUGUAAUGCGGAUCCCAACUUUGGCAAUUCACUUGGACAGGUUCUGUCACUAUUGUUGAGAUGCAUUGUCUGUUAGCUUUCUUAAUCAUUAUUUUAGGUUUAAGUGUGUAUGGUUAAUCUUGUUAAAAACAAUGAAAAUGCAAUGAGGGAAAAAUAAAAAUAUAGAAUGAAAAAUGAACUAUUGAAAUGCUCUAGAUGUAUUGUAUGGAAAUAAAGAAACAUGUUAUGGAAGAUGCAAGAAUGCAUGCAACUAGUUUAAUUGACCUCAUGAAUGAGAGAUGUGCAGCUACACUGCAGAAAAAGAGUGUAAAACAAAAUUUUUGUGUAUGAACCUAAAACUAGCCUUUUUAACCGUUUAUUAAUUGGAAUUUUUU